ACCAGCAGCCGUUUGAGUCCAGUUCCUUUCAGGGCAUCAUUUUCAUUUCACUGCUGCCAGAGAAAGAGCAGCAGCAAGUAAUCAAUAUUUUAGUAAUAGUUGUUUUUUUUUCUUCCAGGCUGAUUUAAGCCAUGAAGUUGAUUUGUCUGCUGAUUUAAGCCAUGAAGGUGAUCUGUCUGCUUCUGGGAGACUAGCUAGAAGCCUUCCCAGGGCUUCUGGGAGUGUAUCUGGAAGCGUCUCUGGGG